GCCUGGGUGGCUCAGUCGGUUAAGCAUCUGACUUCGGCUCAGGUCAUGAUCUCACAGUUUGUGAGUUCGAGCCCCACUCCAGGAU
rnacentral:tRNA from 1 species